AGAAGAGAUGCUGGAGAGCGGGAAGCCAUCCAUCUUCACUUCCGACAUUAUAUCAGAUUCACAAAUUACUAGACAAGCUCUCAAUGAAAUCGAGUCACGUCACAAGGACAUCAUGAAGCUGGAGACCAGCAUCCGAGAGUUGCAUGAGAUGUUCAUGGACAUGGCUAUGUUUGUGGAGACUCAGGGUGAAAUGAUCAACAACAUAGAAAGAAACGUUAUGAAUGCCACAGACUAUGUAGAACACGCUAAAGAAGAAACAAAAAAAGCUAUCAAAUAUCAGAGCAAGGCAAGAAGGGUGAGUUUGGCUUCGAAGAAUUAAGCUGCAUUUUUCUCUUCAUUUGGUUUCAAGUUGUAAUACAUUGAUGUAAGCCUGCCUAAAAGGUAUUCCAAGAAAUAAUUAAUUAAUAAAUGUUUUGUUUUAAAAUGG
rnacentral:sRNA from 1 species